rnacentral:rRNA from 1 species
GACGAACGCUGGCGGCGUGCUUAACACAUGCAAGUCGAACGGGUCUGCCCUGUUUUUUGCGGGGUGGGUCAGUGGCGAACGGGUGAGUAACACGUGAGUAACCUGCCCCUCACUUCUGGAUAACCGCUUGAAAGGGUGGCUAAUACGGGGUGUUCUGGCUGUGCCGCAUGGUGUGGCUGGGAAAGAUUCACUUUUGUGGUGUUUUGGUGGGGUAUGGGCUCGCGGCCUAUCAGCUUGUUGGUGGGGUGAUGGCCUGCCAAGGCUUUGACGGGUAGCCGGCCUGAGAGGGUGGGCGGUCACACUGGGACUGAGAUACGGCCCAGACUCCUGCGGGAGGCAGCAGUGGGGGGUAUUGCACAAUGGGCGGAAGCCUGAUGCAGCGACGUCGCGUGAGGGAUGGAGGCCUUCGGGUUGUGAACCUCUUUCGCCGGUGAAGAAGGUCCUGCUCUUUGUGGUGGGGUUGACGGUAGCCGGGUUAUGAAGCGCCGGCUAACUACGUG